rnacentral:rRNA from 1 species
GACGAACGCUGGCGGCGUGCUUAACACAUGCAAGUCGAACGGAAAGGCCUGCUUUCCCUUGUGGAUUGCGGGUACUCGAGUGGCGAACGGGUGAGUAACACGUGAGUGAUCUGCCCCCAACUUGGGUAUAAGCCUGGGAAACUGGGUCUAAUUCCCGAUAGGACUGCAGGGUGGUGCCUGUGGUGGAAAACGAUUUUCUAGUGGUUGGGGAUGAGCUCGCGGCCUAUCAGCUUGUUGGUGGGGUAAUGGCCUACCAAGGCGGCGACGGGUAGCCGGCCUGGGAGGGUGGACGGCGACAUUGGGACUGAGAUACGGCCCAGACGCCUACGGGAGGCAGCAGUGGGGAAUAUUGCACAAUGGGCGGAAGCCUGAUGCAGCGACGCCGCGUGGGGGAUGACGGCCUUCGGGUUGUAAACUCCUUUCGACCGAGAGGAAGCCACCUGGUUGGAAGGGUGGUGACGGUAGUGGUAGAAGAAGCACCGGCUAACUACGUG